rnacentral:lncRNA from 1 species
GGGCUCCCUGCUCCACAGGAAGCCUGCUUCUCCCUUUCCCUGCUCUUGGGCUCUCACUUGCUCGUUCUCUCUCUCUCUCUCUCUCUCUCUCUCUCUGUAGUAAAUAAAUAAAAUCAAAGAAGAAGAAAAGAAGAAGAAGAAGGAGGGAGGAGGAGGAGGAGGAGGGUAAGAAGAAGAAGAAAACCGAGCAGCCAUAAAGAGCCCAGAGGUCCCCGGGACCUAGGGAGUCUGGGUGUCCCCAGGGCUCCCCUUCUCCCAGGCGCUGCUCUAGGGCCUGCCCUCAGCACAGGAUCACGCCAAAUCCUUAGCCAGAGCCAGCCAGAGCCAGCCCAGUGGUGCUGUUCUCAUUUCCAUUUUGCAGAGAACACUCAGCACAGAGAGGUUAAGAAACUUGCCCAAGAACACACAGCCGGUAAGGAGAGAAGAGAAUGCAAGGGAGAGCAGGAGUGGCAGCUGAGAGACCUGUGAGGUCUGGGUACCAUGGGCCACACUUUCCACACCUUCUGGAAGGAUCUUCACCUCCUGAUGAAUCAUCGUGGGGCUUCUCCCUGUCUGCUAUUUCUGAGUGUUUGUGAACAACACCAUUUCUCAACAGGGCCGAGACCAGGGUGAGGAGAGCAGGCUCCUGCUCCUCCCCCGCGCCCCCCCCCCCCCCCCCCGUGCCAAAUUUAAGUGUGGGGUGGGGGAAGCCAAACUCAGUUAUCGAGAUAAAUAAUAUUUGGAUGUAAUCAUUUCAAAAAACGAAAUUAUGGGGGCACCUGGGUGACUCAGCAGUUGAGCGGCUGCCUUUGGCUCAGGUUGUGACCCCUGGGUCCUGGGAUCGAGUCCCACAUUGGGCUCCCUGCAGGGGGCCUGCUUCUCCCUCUGCCUGUGUCUCUGCCUCUCUCCCUGUGUCUCUCAUGAAUAAAUAAAAUCUUUUAAAAAAAUCAAAAUUAAUGCAAAGUAACUCACAAUGAGGAAAAUGUCAAAAAAAUUUAAAGAUUCGAUUAAAAUAUUAUUUAUUUUGAUGACUGAGGUUUUUCUGGCACCCCCUUAAAUUCUGUUUAGUGAGUACCUCGCUCACCUCCUUCUAAGUCUGUGUCCCAAGGGUCAAGUUGGGGUCUCUAACUGGUGUCGGCCUGGCACUGACUUUAAUUGCUGAGAGCCACUGCAAGGAGGUUGGUCAGGUGGUAACUGGUCUGGGGGCCCAUUUACCUCUUUCAGAAAGUCAUGCAAAGAGAUAGGCAGGGGGCCAAGCCUAUUGUUCCAAAGCUUCCACAGACCUUGACCAGCCCUUGGGCUCUAUGGUCUGCUGAUCAGAGGUGCAAAGGUUUUUGAACAAUCCAAGGCCUUUGAUAUGGUUGCCAACACCCACAUUUUCCAUUCUGGGAACAAUGCCACGGAGGGCUGCAGCCACCCGCCCCCACCCAAGUGAGGAAGUGUCUGCAGGUUACCAGUGGGGACAGGCCCUGUGAGGGCAAGGGUCAGAAGAAGUGUGCUUGUCUUCUUUCUUUUGUCCUCUCUGGCCAAAGCAAUUUUUUUUUUUUCAGAGAAUGAAAAAAAAGGGGGCACCCGCGUGGCUCAGUGGUUGAGCAUCGGCCUUUGGCUCAGGUCGAGACCCUGGGGUCCCCGAGGGAGCCCCACAGCCGGCUCUCCGCGGGGAGCCCGCUGCUCCCUCAGCCUGUCUCGGCCUGUCUCUGCGUGUUUCUCAUUAAUAAGUGAAUAAAAUCUUUAAAACAUGCAAAAAAGAGUGAGCCACCCCGUUAUAGGGGCAGGGAGACACGGGCCCCAAGUUGCCCUGAUGGCCUCUGGAGCUCUCUCCUGAAACCCGGGGCAUCAAAGUCCCCGACUAGCCCUUCGGGGAUCCGCCGUCUGGGGACACCGCAGCAGGUUAGCUCCGGGCCGAGCUGACCGCUGUCUUGGAGGAAUGCGGGGAACACGAGGUGGUUUCCAGUAGGCAAAGUGUUUUUUCCACUUCCUGUUCUUUGCGAACUCGUCCAGUUCCGGCGAGAAGCCGCAGUGUCGGAAUCAGGUGCGGCUCCGGCCCCGGAGCCGGGGUGGGGGAGGGGCGGGGGUGGGGGAGGGGCGGGGGCUGCUCGGGGCUCCCCCCGCGCUCACCCACCGACAGGCC